rnacentral:rRNA from 1 species
CAAGCGUUGUCCGGAAUUAUUGGGCGUAAAGAGCUCGUAGGCGGUCUGUCGCGUCUGGUGUGAAAACCCGAGGCUCAACCUCGGGCUGGCAUCGGGUACGGGCGGACUAGAGUGCUGUAGGGGAGACUGGAAUUCCUGGUGUAGCGGUGGAAUGCGCAGAUAUCAGGAGGAACACCGAUGGCGAAGGCAGGUCUCUGGGCAGUUACUGACGCUGAGGAGCGAAAGCAUGGGGAGCGAACAGGAUUAGAUACCCUGGUAGUCCAUGCCGUAAACGUUGGGCACUAGGUGUGGGGACCAUUCCACGGUCUCCGUGCCGCAGCUAACGCAUUAAGUGCCCCGCCUGGGGAGUACGGCCGCAAGGCUAAAACUCAAAGGAAUUGACGGGGGCCCGCACAAGCGGCGGAGCAUGCGGAUUAAUUCGAUGCAACGCGAAGAACCUUACCAAGGCUUGACAUGCACCGGAAACACCCAGAGAUGGGUGCCCCGCAAGGUCGGUGCACAGGU